rnacentral:rRNA from 1 species
AGCUACAGGCCUAACACAUGCAAGUCGAGGGGAAACGGCAGCUUAGCUUGCUAAGCUGGACGUCGACCGGCGCACGGGUGAGUAACGCGUAUCCAACCUGCCCCACGGUGAGGGAUAACCCGCGGAAACGCGGCCUAAUACCUCAUGGUCUCCGAGCUUGACAUCAACCUUGGAGUAAAGAUUCAUUGCCGUGGGAUGGGGAUGCGUCUGAUUAGCUUGUUGGCGGGGCAACGGCCCACCAAGGCGACGAUCAGUAGGGGUUCUGAGAGGAAAGCCCCCCACAUUGGAACUGAGACACGGUCCAAACUCCUACGGGAGGCAGCAGUGAGGAAUAUUGGUCAAUGGGCGAGAGCCUGAACCAGCCAAGUAGCGUGCAGGAUGACGGCCCUAUGGGUUGUAAACUGCUUUUAUGCGGGGAUAAAGCGGGCGACGUGUCGCCCUUUGCAGGUACCGCAUGAAUAAGGACCGGCUAAUUCCGUGCCAGCAGCCGCGGUAAUACGGAAGGUCCGGGCGUUAUCCGGAUUUAUUGGGUUUAAAGGGAGCGCAGGCCGGGUAUUAAGCGUGUUGUGAAAUGUAGGCGCCCAACGUCUGCACCGCAGCGCGAACUGGUGCCCUUGAGUACGCACGACGUUGGCGGAAUUCGCCGUGUAGCGGUGAAAUGCUUAGAUAUGGCGAAGAACUCCGAUUGCGAAGGCAGCUGACGGGAGCGCUACUGACGCUCAUGCUCGAAAGCGCGGGUAUCGAACAGGAUUAGAUACCCUGGUAGUCCGCGCGGUAAACGAUGGAUGCCCGCUAUUUGCGCAUUAGCGCAAGUGGCCAAGUGAAAACGUUAAGCAUCCCACCUGGGGAGUACGCAGGCAACGGUGAAACUCAAAGGAAUUGACGGGGGCCCGCACAAGCGGAGGAACAUGUGGUUUAAUUCGAUGAUACGCGAGGAACCUUACCCGGGCUUGAAUUGCAGAGGAAAGAUCCAGAGAUGGUGAUGCCCUUCGGGGCCUCUGUGAAGGUGCUGCAUGGUUGUCGUCAGCUCGUGCCGUGAGGUGUCGGCUUAAGUGCCAUAACGAGCGCAACCCCUCUCCAUAGUUGCCAUCAGGUAGUGCUGGGCACUCUGUGGACACUGCCACCGUAAGGUGCGAGGAAGGUGGGGAUG